GUGGCGAACGGGUGAGUAACACGUGGGUAACCUGCCCAUCAGAAGGGGAUAACACUUGGAAACAGGUGCUAAUACCGUAUAACAAUCGAAACCGCAUGGUUUUGAUUUGAAAGGCGCUUUCGGGUGUCGCUGAUGGAUGGACCCGCGGUGCAUUAGCUAGUUGGUGAGGUAACGGCUCACCAAGGCCACGAUGCAUAGCCGACCUGAGAGGGUGAUCGGCCACAUUGGGACUGAGACACGGCCCAAACUCC
rnacentral:rRNA from 1 species